rnacentral:rRNA from 1 species
CCUACGGGGCGCAGCAGUGGGGAAUAUUGCACAAUGGGCGAAAGCCUGAUGCAGCAACGCCGCGUGAAGGAAGAAGGCCUUCGGGUCGUAAACUUCUGUCCUUGGGGAAGAAGAACUGACGGUACCCAAGGAGGAAGCCCCGGCUAACUACGUGCCAGCAGCCGCGGUAAUACGUAGGGGGCAAGCGUUAUCCGGAUUUACUGGGUGUAAAGGGGGCGCAGACGGCGAUGCAAGCCAGGAGUGAAAGCCCGGGGCCCAACCCCGGGACUGCUCUUGGAACUGCGUGGCUAGAGUGCAGGAGGGGG